rnacentral:lncRNA from 1 species
CGUGUCCAGAACCAGCAACUAGAUCUAUUUACAGUGAAACUUCAAAUUUGGGGUUACUCUCAGAAAUGUCUCGCGGCCACGUUGUCAGAUUCACCAAGUCCGACUCUGCUCUCCAUCUUCGGCGCAUCCGAUGUCGCUUCGUCGUCUCUCGUAACCUAGAUUCAACGCACAUAUACAAAAUCAACCUUCCAAGAGUAGAUCCAAGCUUCAAAAGGCCACCCCACUGAAGAAACCACCAUUUUACCGUAAGAACUGCUUUCGCUGAAACCCUCCCAAAACGUCGGAGUAAAAACUCUGGCCCCGAUGAGCUAACUAGCGAACUUUAGCGAGCCUCCGCACGUCCUCAAGUACAGAGCGCCUACUGUUGAGUCCAACGAGCCACCAGAGCCGGAGCUCACUUCGUGGUACACCGCAACAUAGACUAUUCCGGAUCUAGGAAAAGAAGAGAUGCGUCUCCGCCGGAUUGUAAACCACCGUCAAUGAAAAACUGUUACGAUAAACACAAUAACUAGAAGAGAUGCCUCUUCACGG